rnacentral:rRNA from 1 species
UAGGGAAUCUUCGGCAAUGGGGGCAACCCUGACCGAGCAACGCCGCGUGAGUGAAGAAGGUUUUCGGAUCGUAAAGCUCUGUUGUAAGAGAAGAACGUGUGUGAGAGUGGAAAGUUCACACAGUGACGGUAACUUACCAGAAACGGACGGCUAACUACGUGCCAGCAGCCGCGGUAAUACGUAGGUCCCGAGCGUUGUCCGGAUUUAUUGGGCGUAAAGCGAGCGCAGGCGGUUUAAUAAGUCUGAAGUUAAAGGCAGUGGCUUAACCAUUGUUCGCUUUGGAAAAUGUUAAACUUGGGUGCAGAAGGGGAGAGUGGAAUUCCAUGUGUAGCGGUGAAAUGCGUAGAUAUAUGGAGGAACAACGGUGGCGAAAGCGGCUAUCUGGUCUGUAACUGACGCUGAGGCUCGAAAGCGUGGGGAGCAAACAGG